GUGACUGGAAGAAAUAAAGUUAAUACAUGCAAUGAUCUCUUCCCUAAUAAAGACCCACCCAGUCCCAGAUAUUGAUGGUUUUCAAGUGGAGAAUAAGUUAUUAGAAACGCGGCAUGCAAACACAGUAUGUGUGAGAGUCAUAAGCUGACCAGGGCAUUGAAAGUUCUUCGCUGUGAUCUGGAGUCAACCUUUAGGUCCUUUAGGACCUUUUAGGAGUCAACCCAUGAAUGGUCUUGCUGUCACCAGCAGAGAUUCUCUCCUAGUCUUGUGUUUCAUGAAGUCCCUUGAAAAUAGCUUCAGCCAGAGGAGAUUAAAGUCAUCCUCCAUAGUGAGUAGGAGAGGCCUGAAAGAGCCAAGAUCUCUGUAUUAUUCCACAGGUCAAAUAAAUGUCAUUUCUUUUUGUAAGUUACACACACACACACACACUCCCUUCCUUCUUUAUUUCAUUUCAUUUCAUUUUCCAGUGACUGUGUGAAAAAAAUAAAUGGAGACUAGAAUAAAUGACUCAUAAGUUCUAAAAUACUUGUUGAGCUGGGCGGCAUGUUGAAAUGUCCCACUCUAUCCUGCCAUGGCCUCCACUUAUACCUUGUUCCAGGAUAUCUGUGCCAUAUACCCUAUACCACCGUUGGCCACUCAGUAGCCUGCUCAGCAUCAGAGCCACUGUUACGGUAAAGCGUCUGUAAUUUGAGUUUCACUUAAUAAUAGCUCAAGGCACAUAUGUUUCCUACUAUAUACUGUUAUGACUAUUUUACUUUAGUAUUAUUUUUGUUCUUAAUUUUUUACUGUGACUAGUUUCUAAGUUAAACUUACUCAAAGACACAUAUGUCUAGAGAUCUUUUGACAAUUCUUGGUUGAGUUAUCUAUGUGGCAGUGGGGGUGGAUGAGGGUGGAUCAUACAUGCCCCUGGAGAUAAGGGACAGUAACGGUAUGGUCUCCUUACUGUAGAAGUUGAAAUAGAAUCAGUACUUCGUAAAGUUGAGGUCUUGAAUAUAAUCUGGGAGGAGAAGAGGAAGUGUUGGAAGGGAAGAGGCCCUCGAAUUCCGAAGCCCAAGGGGUCGCUGGAGGCAGUGUGGCUGUUUGGAUCCAUUGUCAGGAUGGCUUCAGAGGGACCAGUGCGGCCUCGUCCAUGAAGCCCGUGUUAUCAGAAAGAUGAUCCACAAUUGAGGUCAAGAGAUAGAACCUAGGUAUGCUACCUCGGCUAGCCUCAGACUCCUAGGCUCAAGUAAUCCUCCUGCCUCAGCCUCUUCAGUAGCUGGUACUACAGCCAUUGCCACUGCUACCAGCUGUGACCAAGUAGGUUUGAGAUCCGAAGUUAUGGCUCUGAUUUUGAACAGAUCCCAGACAGAAUGGAAACCACAAGAGGUUCAUUCACAGAGAGGGCACUGGCUGAACCAAGGACCUCACUAAGUUCUCACCCCUCUCCCCCUAAUUCAUUGUGUGACCUGGAAGAAAAUCACAUCCCUUCUCUGACCCAAGAACUUCUAGUCCUGGCUGCAGGGUGAACCUUCCCAGGAAGUGGUAAUGCCGUGAUACAAUACGAGCUCUCAACGGAUCCCUGCACACCCAAAGUGUACCACGACGGCCUUGAGGGAGACCCUACAGAGCUCAGCAGCUCAGAAUUCAAUUUUCACAUUGGUAACUUCAUCCCUUUGGGCCUUUUGAGUUACUUUGGCCUUUAAGAGUGGCUUCUUAUAUGAAUUUCCUGAAACCCUUAUCAGCCAACAUCUUAGGCUCCAGUGAUUGACAGGAAGAGGUGAGAGCCAGAUGAGCGGACAGCCAGCUUGCUCUAUAAGACUGGGGAUAAUGUUGCUAUCUUCAAACAUAUAAGCAACACACUUGUUUGAGUAGCUGUCUUUCUCUCAUCCAAAACUAGAAAUGAGUAGACUUCCUAUUCACCCAAAGGGGGAUGGGGGGGGGUGAGGGUGGGGAGGGAGAUAUGCACAGAGAGCAGGAAUCCACUCAGCUGCUUUUAUCCUCAAGCCCAUGGUCACAGGGCUCCACACCACAAGAUAUAAAGGAAAUCCUUCACAGGUCAGUUUUCCCAAUGACUGACUAAGGGAGUGAAAGAGAUGGCCUUCAGGGAGACUUCAGUUCAUCUUACAAUUGUAAGGACCACUGGCUGUGAGCUGCCUCUGCAAUAAAACCCAGGGAAUGCGGAUCUGGCCAUCAGCUCCACCUUCUUCCUGGUUGAGCAGGAAGGACUAUCCUUGGGAGGAAGCUAGUCCAGACAUCCUGGGUUACAGGAGCUAGAGUAGGUGCUGUCGGUGAUGUGUGCACCACACCCUGAAAAGCCUGCCUCCCCGGUUGGUUCUUGACCCAACUGAGCCAAUGCCAAGAAAGCAACUCCAAUGUCAGAGAUAUUGAUGUAUUUUAAAUCAUUUUUAAGCAUUAAGAACUUAGAUUUAGUCAGUCUGGUCUGUAGAGUAAGUUCUAGGACAGCCAGGGCUACACAGGAAACCCUGUC
rnacentral:lncRNA from 1 species